CACCCUUGUUGGUACAUCAUGAAGCGUUUGACAGAAGGACGUAGGCCGAGGAGCUUAGUGAGCUGGUAAUCGGCGCCGGGCAUGUCAACGCCGGAGGUGGUGCAGAAGAUGAGAUGGGUGAUUUUGGAUUUAGGUUGGCCCCAUUCUUUGAUGGCUUUGGUCGCGGCUUCUUUACCGAGCUUGGGGACUUCGACAACCACCACGUCUUGUCUGGCGUCGAGGGAAGGAGCCAUGUACUCGCAAAGGUUGGGGUUCUCUUUGAGAAACUCCUCUGUCAAAUGCAUGUAUCGUUUUCUUAUCAUAGACUUGUCACCUGCAAGUUUCAUAUACAUGUAUACUUUGUUAAAACAAAACCCUACACAUAACAUCAUGCUGAUACAAAUACAAAUCGAUCAUCACUUUUAUUUUUUUUUGAAAGAUCUGAAAACUACGUCUCAGAAAAGUUUUGCCACAAUAUAUCUUUGGCCUGUGUUAUCUCACGAAAAACUCAAUGGAAGU
rnacentral:lncRNA from 1 species